UACAGAGGGGGCAAGCGUUAUUCGGAAUUAUUGGGCGUAAAGGGCGCGUAGGCGGCAUGGCAAGUGGAUGGUGAAAUCCCUCGGCUUAACCGAGGAACUGCCGUCCAAACUGCUUCGCUUGAGACCGGGAGUGGUGAGUGGAAUUCCCAGUGUAGCGGUGAAAUGCGUAGAUAUUGGGAGGAACACCAGUGGCGAAGGCGGCUCACUGGACCGGUACUGACGCUGAAGCGCGAAAGCGUGGGGAGCAAACGGG
rnacentral:rRNA from 1 species